ensembl:lncRNA
UCUAGUGGAGAAAAGGAUGAGAAACAGCUUGUCAGAAUAUCUGUCUGUCUUCCUCUGAGACUCUGGGGGUAAUACUACAGCUUCUUGAAGCCUGAAAAGCAGUGAGGGACAGAGGAGAGGCAACAGAGCUGUGUUCUGAGCACCUAGCUGGCCUUGAGUCAGGAUGGACCCUCAUCUAGCUGUGAGAAGCCAGCAAGCAUCACUUCUCUGUAGCUCAGAUUUUCUUUCUGCAAAGAAAGAAUAGCAGGACCUACUUUGUAUUUUCUUGCUCAGGGCCAUCGAUGACAAGGACCAAAGACCCCCUUAAGCCAACUCAGGGAAAGGGAGCGGGUGGCUGGUGAUAAGGUAGCAGGAUCUUUUGGGGAUUCCAAAGGCAAGAACCAUAAUGCAGCAGGACCUUGUGGAAACCCCAAAAUGCGAGGCUGCCGCUAGCUAAGGAAUCCAGAUGAGCUCUCUUCAUGGCCCUGUUUCUUUCUGUAGUUCUACUCUAUUUUCCUCUCUGCUCACCUAUUUCCUUGGAACGUAAAUUGCAGUCCCGAAAAGCUUCGAUUUGCAAAGGCCCAUCCCAGCCAUCCUGGGCUUGUCAAUCACCUGAGAACUCAUUGUAAUUCCUUUGGAUUUUUCUCCCCGUCUGUUCCCGAAGCCCAGUUCCAGUUCUUAAAGGAGGAAUCGAAGUGAGACAAACUGCAGGUCCAGCGACUGGACCCUGCUUGGAACAAGUGCUCCCCUCUGCUCCAAUCAGCUGUGAGCACAAUGGGGUGUGGCCACGUGAUACAAACAUGGCCAGGACAGAUCGCAUUGUGGCUGUGGCUCAGCCGGUUUCUCUUAGAGGGUAGUAGUGUGCAAUCACCAUAAAACAUCUGGUGCACACCUACUCCCUCCAGGCUUAUCUGACUAAAUAGACAUGGGAGGUUUUUUGGGUUUGGGGUUUUGGUUUAAUGCCAGCGUGCUGAUUCUUUUGGUCAAUUAUACGAUGCCGUGCACAUGUGAGGUGAGAGAAUCGCCAUGGGUUACUGACAGAACUCAAACUUUGCAAAGGCUGACCUGGCUGGCUUUAAGCCAGUUGCCUGAAUCGGGAAACGAUUAGCUUGGUAAACUUCUUGCUCUCUCAGCUAUUGCAUUUCCCUGGGGCCCGAGGAGACUGUGCCUUGAAUGUGGAUUUCUCAAAGUGGCUCCAUGCUGUGUUCCUGCGUGGGGCUAGGGCUCAGCCUUGGAAAUUACAGUUUGUCUCAUCCUGCUGGGCACGAUUGAGUAAGUGCCGUCGUGCGUUCUGGCCGAUCCCAGCAGCUGGGGGCCUCCCAGGCAGCCAGCCAGCAGGAGUGACAGGCAUCUCUGAGCUGCUUCUGCCUUCCAAAGGUUCUAGACAGAGGACAGGAGGGUGGAGUAUAACUCGAAUAUGUUGUAUCCUGAUAGGGCCUGGGUCUUGACAUACCUUAACUUAUUGCAUCUUCGUAGCAGUGUUAUCGAGGGGGCAUUAUAAUCCCCAUUUUACAGAUGGAAGUAAUGGGGCUUGGAGAGAUUAAGUAAUUUGCUCAAAAUGGUAGAAAUCAAGUGGGAACCCAACCCUGGCUCUGCGGGCUCCUCAGGACCUUGCAGUAAUAGCUUAGCAGCACUUAACCAGCCAAUUCUUUCUGAGCACAUACUGUGUGCUAAGUAUUCAUAGUGUGUUAUGCCUUUUAAAGCUCUUUUCCCACGUAUCAUUCAAUACCCGCAGAAGUGAAUAGACAGGAUGGCUCUCAUUAUCUCUAUUUAACAUCAGAAGCUAGAGGCCCCGAGCAGGCUCGAGGCACCAUGUCUCGUUAGUGUCAGAGCAGGGUCUGGAACUAGGUCCCUGACUGCACAAGUGGGGCUCUGUGGACCAAACCCUGCUUCCCUCCCAUCGCUCAAGAUACCCUUCCAUAUGUAUAGGAGAAGGAAAAUAUCCAAAGAUAAAAUAUUGCAUUUGUUUCUUUCCUGUUGAGCUCAGAUUUAACUGAUAUCACAGCUCUGUGUUAGUCAGACUUGGGUUGACGUCUUAUUAGUUGUUGACGAUUGCUCUGAGCUUCUGGUUCCUCAUCUACAAAUAGGUGAUAGUCUCUGUGAGAGCCCCAAGCAUGCUGCUCUGGGAGUUUAGAAAGGGAGGCAGCAAGGAGGGCUUCUUGGAAGAAGUGGUUCCUAGGAUGGCCUCCUUGAAAGGAAGCUACCUGUAAGCAAUAAUACUUUACGCACGCCUGUGUACCCUUUGGAUGCCCGAGGAAACCUCUCCCCAUCUGCCAGUUUGAAUGAGUCACAACAGCCUCUGGUCUCUGUAACUGAGUGUGGGGAGAAGGAGCAGCAGGCACCUAGGUCCCCUCCUCCUCUCUGGAUGUGCAUGUUUCUCAGAUCGUGUCUCCUCCAGGCUUCUCCCAGGCCAAGCUGCACAAAGGCCCAGAAUGAAAGACUAAGGUGGAAUUGAGUUCCUCCCUUGGUGGCCUCUAUGCUUACAGAGUCGAGUCACUGCCAUGCUUCCAGAAGGUCUUCACAGGUCUUUCACCUUGGCUUCCAACUUUGCCUUUCCACCUAAGCGGAAUAAGAAACCGAUGCAAUUGUGCUGAUGGCUGGCUUGGGAGGGUAAAAAGAUACAGCCAUUUCUUAGUUUGUUUCUCCUUCUCCGCAAUGCUAAUCAACCUGCCUUGUAGCACACUAGCUGUUUCCUAGCAACGCCAAGCGAUGUAGCAGCAUGGCAUCUAUUUUGAGUCUUCCUGAAGUGACCUGUGGACUGUCUUUGAGAGUGGCAGCCACUGCCUUGAGGUCAUGUUGCUUCGUCACCGCGGGGCAGAGCUAUCCCCAGUCAUGAUGGUGGAAUCCCUGGCACCCACCAGCUUGUUCUGUAGACAAGCCAGGCAAAACCACAUCCUUAUCAUGAAUAUGGAUUAUAUACAUGCUUAUUCAUUCAUGGGCUCAUCUAUCCCAUCACACAAAGACUAUGGACCACUGUUCCAGGAACUGGGCCAGACACUGGUGUUUCUAGGGAAAAACUGGCCUGGUUCCCAUCCCUGGAGAGAGAUAGGCUUAUAACAGGUCCUAAGAUAUGUGCUAUCAUCAAGGCAAGAACAAAACCAAGCAUGGAGUUUACAGGAAUAUUUUUCGGAACAGCUGUAAGUUGAACCAGGCUUUGAAGUAUGAUUAAGAGUGUUGCAGGUGCUGAAAGAAGAAUAAGGUAUCUGUUGGAGGGGUCAGCAUAAUGCAGUACCCCAAAGGCAUGAAAGAAAGAAUGGGAAGUUGGUGACAUCACAAGCGAAUCAAAAAAUCUUUCCCUUGGGACUUUAAUAGGUGUUACUCAGGUAGGGGGUUCUGUCACCAAAUGAGAAAUUCAGGCUUAAAGUUAAAUAGACCUUUUCAUGACAGAAUUUUUCAGGCAUAUGCGACUUGCUAAUCAUCACUUUAUUGUGAUUUUUCGAGAUCAGGAAAUUGCAGCAUUUGCUGUACUUACUGACCUCGCAGGACGUUUUGAUCAUCUUUUAAGAGGAGGGUUCCUUGGAAUCUACUUCGGAAAACACUCAGGUACAUACAGGGUCGGGUUCUUUCCUGGGGAUGAUGGAAGGUAGGCAAGGCCGACUCCUGAGGCAGAGAAUGAAGAUGGACUUUUCUUCUGAAGGUGCUGGGCAGCCAGGGAGCAAUUUCCAGCAGGGCCUGUGUUAGAAGGUGCUCGGGGCACAGAAGGGAAGCGGACCAGGGAGGGGUCAGGAGGCUGGGAUUCCAGGUUAGAGGCUGGACUGUCUCGCUGUACACACACAGGCAACCCCUGGCAUCUGGUCCAGGUGCCGGACGCAGCUGUAACCUGAUGUCACAUUCAGAGACUUUGUUGAGGACCUCCAGACGGGUCCACCUGAGGUCCCACCGAGUCCCGCUGGACCACGUGCAACCCUGUAAAGCCAUCUCCUGUUUCGUAGCAGCUCUUUACUUGGAAGGCGGCUGGGAUCUGCUCCCUGGUUCCGGUGUUUGUUUUUGUUAGGGCUGUCACUCGGUUUACUUUCUGCCACAAGCUCAGUUAGGUAGUCAAUGGUGUUUGCCGGGCUCAACGUUGAUGUUCUUGGGAACUCUUGCCGACUUAGACAGAUGAUUCUUUGUGUUAAGAAAGGCAGAAAGAGUUCACUAAGAUAUUGGAUCAAAGACAAUAAUCCAAAGAAAUAGUCCUGUUCAAAGGAGAGGAAACUUAGUAGUUAUGAAUGUGAAACCCACUGGGAGAAAAACAUAAGUCAUGAAGUCAGCCAGCCAUGGAUUUAUAACCCAGCUCCAUGACUUACUAGCUGGAUGAUCAUAGGCAAGUCACUUAACCUCUCUGAGCCUCACUUUUCUUGCUGGAUGAUGGAAAUAGUCGUGGACAUUAAAAUCUUUGUAAGAUGUUGAGCUCAUAAAAUUGGCUGAAUAGAUGUUACCGGUAGUUCCAUUUUUCUUGGGUCUUUAAACUCAAUAUCCCAAGACCAGCCAUGGUUCAGUAACAGCAGUUGUGAAAACAGUUUUCAGGGUUUGGAUUGAAAAGUUGCUUGUGGGAAGGUCACCAGAAAAGCUGAGCUGAGCAUGGGCCCCAUCAAGAAAAGGCGAGACCCCAAGUCAGGGAGGGCACCCUCCCAGCCAAGUGCUUUUUCGGGCUCUGUUCAAACAUUACUUUCUAUUCCAGACAAUAAAUGUAAUAGGAACAUUGACACUUGUUGGUACUAAUAAGUCAGGGAAGGAGAAGGGCCCAGAAACUUGACUGCAUAGAGAGCACAUGAAAGCAUUCAGGUGUCUUAACCUGAAAAAGAAGACGAUGGGAAGUAGUAUGGUAGAUGCUUCUGUAUCCAGAGCCAGUGCCUGAGAUACAGCAAGUUCUCAAAAGAUAUUUGUUGGAUGGAUGGAUGGAUGGAUGGAUGGAUGGAUGGAUGGAUGGAUGGAUAGAUGGGUGGAUGGGUAGAUGGGUAUGUAGAUGGAUGGAUGGGUGGAUGGAUGGGUAGAUGGGUGGAUGGAUGGAUGGAUGGAUGGAUGGAGUGGGUAGUCAUGGAAUUGGGAAGACCUCAUUUUGAGUCCCCACAGCAUCAUAUAUCAACUGUGACCUUGGGAAUGGAAUUCAACCUCCUUGCACGAUAGGGAAGCCUCCAUGGCGAUAGGGAAGCCUACUGUGCUGUGCUCGCCUGAGAAUUCAGUGAAAAUGUGUGUAUUAAGUUCUGAACACUGAGCUUAUUGCCCUGGAAGGGUUCAAUGAGGAUUCCCUUUGUUCCCUUGUCAUAUUCACUGUUGUCUGGUUGGCAAUGUCUGUCACAUGGACAGGGAAUUGGGCAUGCUUCCAGCAUUCCGGAGUGGGACAGGCAGGAGGAAGUUCAGGUGACGUCCUCAAGAUUAGAAUUGCUUAGAAAUGACAUGAGCUGCUGUCACAGGAGUGAGCUCCCUGACUCUGGAGGAGGUAUGUAAGCUGAAGUUGUAGGAUGCUUGCCCAGGACAAUAGGCAGGGAUAAAUGAUAUCUUCAGAGUCUCUAAUACUCAAUCAUUGCUAAGCUCUUGGUCUUAACGUAUCCAUCGGUGAAAUGGGGGCAUGACCACAUCGCCUAUUCAAGCAAAAGAAGGCAGUGGGUUUGAAGAAUGCUUCUAAACUGUAAAGUGACAAUAGAGGUCGCAAACCACUACCCCAGGGUCACACUUGGCCUCCAGAUGGGUUUUGGUGAGCCUGCAUAGUGUGGGCCUAUUAUUUUUUUUGGAGCUUCACAUGAGAAUUCAAGUUGUUCAACUCUAUUGAAAAAAAAAAAAAAAAAAA